rnacentral:rRNA from 1 species
AUUGAACGCUGGCGGCAUGCCUUACACAUGCAAGUCGAACGGCAGCACGGACUUCGGUCUGGUGGCGAGUGGCGAACGGGUGAGUAAUGCAUCGGAACGUGCCAUUGAGUGGGGGAUAACGUAGCGAAAGUUGCGCUAAUACCGCAUAUUCUGUGAGCAGGAAAGCAGGGGACCGCAAGGCCUUGCGCUCUUUGAGCGGCCGAUGUCAGAUUAGCUAGUUGGUGAGGUAAAGGCUUACCAAGGCGACGAUCUGUAGCGGGUCUGAGAGGAUGAC